GGAAAAUUUUACUUUUUACUUUGCCGGGAAAUUUGAAUUUCAAGAAUCCAGGGUCCUGAGAAAGUCACUCAAACUCCGCGAUAACGGUAAACCUUAGACCCAUAAAAGUGGGUACCUAAAGAAUCGCCAUGUUACCGUGUGUGCCGCUUUUGACUUUAUUUUAACAUUCCAAAUGUUUUAGAAGAGAAAUUACGUAAAAACGACUAAACUGACUGCCGACCUCCCCGUCAAGACCACCUUUCACAGCAGAUUUCUCGCUUACACGUUGGCCGAUUCCAGUGAAACCUACAAAGGAUCAAGGUUGAGGAUAUGAGGAUUUCAUUUCUACCACAUUUAAUAGGGCUUCAUCGCACGGAUAAUUCAGCAUCGGCUAAUAUCUUUCACAAUUUUAGCUGUAUCUUUUGAAUUUAGAGAAAAACCGGUAGUGGUUCACUAGUGGUUCAAUGCUAUUGGUUGAUUCCGUUCAGUUCUGCCAGUUCAGCUCGAGUUUCGGGAACGAAAUGAAAUUCCCCUGGUCGGUCGUUACCAGCCUCCAACUAGUUGUAUGAAUAGAUUUAUACCUAAUUUGGAUAAGAGUUUAAUUCUUUGUAGAUGCUAACUACUAUAUUUACAUAUUCAUAUUAUUACGUCUCACGUGUUCUACUGGAGCCCGAUAUACUAUUACCUUAGUUUCUCUUGAAAUGUUCAAGUGGUAUCUUUAUUGUUUUAUUGAACGAAUAUGUGACAAAUUUUUAAGUGAGGUUAUGUCGUCAUGUUUAUGUCAGUACCUGACCUAAGCGAUAGAUGUAAUUCAGGUAAAUUACGUUGACAAAAUUACACCGAAAUUGUGCCAAACUCUAAAGAGGAAGCAGCAUUUACAUCACAGAAUGCAUGCUCGUGACUGAAGUCUAAAAAUUACUGGAAUAUGAGCCUCGGCCUUCACAUGCGACUGUCACUGAACUUCGACCGAAAUUUAUUCGCUCUAUAUCUUGCCAUCAACCUAUGUGCUCUGGAGUGAUUAUGCUUCUCUGAUGUGUAUUUUAUUGACAUUAAGAACAUGUUUCCUUAUUUAUCUUGGAAUCCUCCUAUCUCUUCUACCGUUCUUGUUACGCAGGGCUUGCGUACCUUAGUAUGUGAGGCACAAUUUCAUCCCUUUAUGGAACAGUGCAAUCAUAGAUCAACUUAAUGUCACACAAUCAAAGAUCUUAGACUGUGAGCAUUUGCUCAAAUUGGUUUCUUCUGAGUCUCUUUGAUUUUGCGUCAGGAGUUGUUAGAAACAUCAUUUUGCCCAACAAUAGUAACAAGGUAACAAAAGUAACAGCUCAUGCCUUCUGAAGUGAUUGCGUUUUUUUUAAGUGCAUGUUAUUGGCAUGAACGCCAUGUUCUUUGCAUGAUUAGUCUUGGGAAACCCCUCCUCUUACCGUUUUGGGAACCUCAAUUACUUGGACAUCGGCAGCAGUUGUUUAUCUGGAGGAGUAACGUUCAAUUCUACCUACCACCUCUCUGUUUAGUGUAGUCAUUUAAUCAACUUAUUGUCACAAAAUCAGAGAUCUUUGACUGUGGGUUUAAGCUCCCAUUUAACUCUUUCAGAGACUCUGAUUUUGCGUCUACAGUUGCUACAAGCAUCGUUCAUUGCUCCUGACAUUAUUUAGGAUACAAUUUUGUGAAAGGCGUAUAGCAGAAAGAACAUUUUCCACCAUUUGGAUCAUCAGACUUAGGUACAGAAGCGAUCUCAGGGAUGAGAGUUGGUGGCUUAGCUUGCCUCCUUACUCCCGCACCUCCCUCAAACGUCUGAGCAUUGGCUUGAAGGAUAAGUAAUUCUCCAAAUUCUCAUUGCUCCUGGAUUUGAGAGAAUGUUUCUUUUUCCCUUCUUCAAGGUAAAAUUAUAAAUAAAAAUAAAAGUUAACGCUUUCUACAUCUUUCAUCUUAAAUAUAUGGUCUGACUAAAUUAAGCCUUCAUACUAAUUUCUAGCUGAUGUUUCAAGGGAAUAAAUAUGGAAAA